UUGCCGCUUUUAAAUGUGAAAAAUUCUUCAUAUUGUUUUCAACGUUUGUGCUAUCUCGCACUGUGGCAACUCUUUGACAGGGUUGAAUGUGGUAAAGAAUGAAUGCAGUCUUUCAAAGUACAAAAGUUCAAAUUUCGGCCACUGAAUAGUGAAUUGGAUAAUGUGACAAGAACCUAUAUUAUACGAUAGUAUAGUGGAAUACCAAUUCUCAAUGCAGUCACAAGUAUAGUACAGUACCAAGGAAUCCAGUUAAAAUAAAAUGUUUAAACGUACAUUCAAAGUUGUCUUUCGUCCAACUAAAAGCAAUUUUCUAUUGCUACCUGAAAAUUAUUACGGCGUGGUAUCAACAUAUGAUACUGGCUGUCUAAGUUUGCAAUACAGCGGGCACACACACUACGCGUCGUGGGCGCCACAUGCUGGCGCAGUGAAAGACACCGAAAUUGGGAUCAAUGCCAGGGUGGCGAAAGAAAUUGGUUUGAGCGAAAACGAUUUGGUGAAAUGUUCACUCAUAGCAGACGUUUUGACAUUGAAGAGUGUUUUUGUGACACCGGUGUCGGCCAAGGACUGGGAAAUAAUUGAAUUAAGUGGUGAAAAGAUCUCGAGUAGCGUCUUGGAACAAACUCGUAUUGUUAAUGCUACACAAAUUCUUAUAAUAUGGAUAAACAAAUCAAUGCAAGUGGCCUUAACAGUAGAUCGUCUGCGACCAAUUGUCUCGUAUGGUCGGCUUGACCAUAACACAGAGCUGGUUAUAGCGCCGAACCUGUACAAAGAUAUUACGAAUGGCGGUAGCAAUGGCUUUUCGCAUGACACCAGCGAUUCAAAUGCAAAUACCCAAAGCCAAUUGAGUCGCAGUCGCACCAGCGCACGUAUACGCAACUCGACCGAAGACAAUAACGAAUCACAUUUGAUGCGUUCUACAACAACUGCCAAUUUGAAAAAAUUAACGCGCACAGAGUCAAUAGCGAAGACUAGUCGUAAUGAUAAAAUGAUACGUUUGAAGAAGGACUUGCGUCGUGAAAGUACGCACACUUUUGAAUUUCGCGCUAUUAGCGUUGGAUGGAAGGAGAAAUCACAAAUUUCUGACGUAUAUCUGAGCAAAAGCAACUGGCCUGAAUUUAUGGAAUUGAACAACGUCUAUUGCAUGCAAACACCCAGUGAGCAGGAAUAUUAUGUAAAAGUGUGUGUUUUGGCUGAUGAGGAGCUAGAGCACACCGCUCACACUUGUCUGCAAGUGAAUUUGAACCUUAUGCGAAAAUUGAAUUUGAAAGAAAUGGAGAAAGUAGUGCUUAAGCAAAAGGCGGCUGUUGUAAAUUUUGUAGAGAAGAUAGAAUUGUUCGCACAAAAGAAAACGCAUUAUAAGAUUAUUGAAAAUGCUUUUAAACGUUAUGUCAUAGAGAAAACCAAUAAAGCAGCAAUGCUUUUGAAUCAGGACGAAGUUGUGCGCUUGGAAGAGGAUCUAAUUGUGACCGUUGGCAUUUUGCCCGAACAUUUUCGUUAUUGUGUUAUAGAUGCGCAGUUUUUAAAAGAGUCGAAAAUCUAUGCUGCCGAUUUGGUGCGCAAAAUUGACGAGUUAGUUGACGUACAACCGCCAGUGAAGUCGCCGUUAAGCGUUAAAGAUUUGAUAAAACUGCCAGCAUUUGAUGAAAUCGUUACGAAUUUAGUGAAUGAAUUGAAAAUGAAUUUGUGCUUGGAUGCAAACAAUGCAAUACUGCGACAAGGGAAUAUUCUUAUAGCAGGCGCAUCUGGUACGGGUAAAACUGUGGUGGUGGAGAGGAUAUUGGAUGCGUUGGUGCAGAAGCCUUACUUCUGUUUCUUCGAUAUAUUUUACUGUUCGAGAAGUAAAGGAAGAAAGGCUGAAUCGAUACAAAAAGACUUGCGUAGCAUAUUCACAACCUGCUUGCAAAAUGCACCCUCCAUAGUGGUGCUGGAAAAUCUCGAUGUACUAGCACAUGCGGCGGGCGAUCAAGCGACGCAGGAUAGCGAAUACUACAACCGCAUCGCCGAUACUGUACAUCAAUUGAUUGUGCAAUAUACUAGUAACAAUCCCAUUUCAGUGAUUGCGACAGUAAGUGAGCUUCAAGCUUUAAAUAAACGUUUAUACUCGCCACGCGGACGCCAUCUUUUUCAAAAUGUCACUAAACUGCCUAGCCUGGAGCGUGAGGGACGCGAAUUGAUACUUCAAGAGCUUUGUAGCCAUAUUGAAUCGGAGAAAUUAGAUUUGUGCAAAUUCGCAAACCUAACUGAAGGCUACAAUAAAGGAGAUCUAGUACAGUUUGUUGAGCGUGCUAUAUUUUACGCGUAUAGAAUAAGUAAAACGCAUCCGAUUCUCACAAACGAGCUCUUGAUCGAUUCGCUGGCGAAUACGAAUUCUUAUUGUCUGCAAGGUAUUGAAAACCAUCAGAAAAUUAACGACGACGAAAAUCUUGAGGAGUUGGCGGUUGAAGAAGUGCCAGGCUUAGAGACAGUUGUCACUGUAUUGGAGGAAGUGCUGAUGUGGCCAUCCAGAUUUCCAAACAUUUUCCAACAUUCUCCGCUUCGCAAUCAGGCUGGCGUUUUACUGUACGGUCCCCCGGGUACCGGUAAAACGUUCCUUGUAUCGAAAAUUGCAACUUCCUGGAAUUUGCGCACUAUAUCCGUUAAGGGGCCCGAAUUGUUGGCUAAAUAUAUUGGACAAAGUGAAGAGAACGUGCGAAACUUAUUUAAUCGUGCUCGCAGUGCCAAACCUUGUGUACUAUUUUUUGACGAAUUUGACAGUUUGGCACCGAAACGUGGACACGAUUCGACGGGCGUUACAGAUCGCGUAGUAAAUCAACUGCUAACUGAAUUAGACGGUGUUGAGAGUCUGCAAGGAGUUACCGUAAUAGCGGCCACUUCACGCCCCGAACUGCUUGAUCCGGCGCUACUGCGUUCAGGACGAAUCGAUCGUCUUGUUGAGUGUGGUCUGCCCGACGCUGUGGCGCGAGUGCGCAUCUUCGAAGCACUAUCAGCUUCUCUGAAUUUAGAUGACUCCGUUGAUUUUGACUAUUUCGCCAGCCGCACGCAAAACUACACAGGCGCUGAUAUACAGAGCAUACUAACCUCGGCUAACAUGAUAUCGGUGAAAGAGGCGUUGUCCCAAUACGGACAUGAGAAACUGCCGUCCAGAAUUUUGGUGCGACAAAAGCAUCUAAUCGAAGCUUUUAACACAACGCGGCCGUCGUUGAGUGCAGCGGAUAUAGCCAAGUAUCAGAAGACUUACGCCCGAUUUACGAACAAGGAACGCGGUGGGGCACGCGAUUUUGUGGCUAAGCGCGCCACUUUGGCAUAGUUGAAGCUGUCUUUGAAUCGGCCAACAACAGUGAUGGUAAGACAUGGAGCUAAAUCAAUGAGUGUGGAGUGUGUGACUACUCCUUUCCUAAGUAGCUGGAAGUAAGAUAAAUAUAAAAUUAUAAAAAAUAUUUCGCCAACUGUGGUCUUUAUUCCGAAUUUCACACCAUAGAAUUUUUCAAGUCCUUAAACUUCAGGAAAAAAUAAAUAAACUUGAUAUAAAAAUUUAUGGACGAUAAUGAGUCACCACUCAACUUGGAUGCAAGUUAAAAUGCAACAAUAAAUGGAAACCGAAACGCAAAAUGAGGUAGAUCUAAAAAAAGUAAUUGAGUAACUGCUCCUCGCUUCCGAUCGCCGAAAUCUGUACCCACAACUUGUUGUCGAUUAAAUGUUCAAAGUGCAGUCUUGAAACCAACAGUUGCUAAGCAUCUGGAGAGUCAAAGACCGCUUUAUUAAUACUUCAGUGCACACAGAUGAUCCGACAACGCUGAUACUCAAGCUACAAUUCAAAAAUAGCAAAGGGAGACUUAAUGUAAUUAUGAACCAUAAAGGAUGUCUGUCACGCACGUCUUAGCAGGUUGAAUAUGUCUAUUGGUGAUAAUGCCACCUUCAUAUGUGCAAAGUUGCGAACAUACUACAUACAUGCAUACCCACAACGGCGAAUUGGACGCAUGCAUUUCGUUUCAUAGCGAUAAGACCGACCGCCUGUAAAAAGUUCAUUGAUUUGCCAUUGUAAGUGAUUCGAGGGUUAAACGAAAUGAAAUCAAUGGCAUUAAUUACCAAAAAAGUAUCGCAAGUUUACUGUAUUGAGAUAAUGAAAUGGACCAAGACAAUGAUAAAGUGACGAUUGUCCCUAUAUAAGCCGAUAUUUGGCUGGAGUGUAGCACAGUUGUCUACCGGCAUUGAUUGGUAGAGCACAGCGGAUACAUUUCCAUUCAACUACUUAGCGAGAGUAUUUGAGAAUCUUCGAGAUGAGGACAUUCGUAAUUCUAUUAAGCUGCCUUGUCUGCUGCGCCACAGCAGGACGCUAUGGUUUGGCGCAGAAACUCUUGGG